UUGAAAUUGACACAUUUUGCUUUGUAGA
rnacentral:sRNA from 1 species